GGGGAAAGCAAAAGGGCCGGGCCCAACCCAUUUGUAAUGCCAUUUCUCCAGUAAUCACAUGCUACAAUACAUAAUACCCUAGUCACACCAGACAAAACUAAAGAUUAGAACUAUUAGGACUGGAUAGGGAAAUACAAAAAGGAAACUUAAUAUUUUCCAGAUCUAAACCUCAAUAGCAGAAAAACUAUAUUUUCUUAAUUCAGUUCUUC
rnacentral:misc_RNA from 1 species